rnacentral:rRNA from 1 species
UGGGGAAUAUUGCACAAUGGGCGAAAGCCUGAUGCAGCAACGCCGCGUGAGGGACGACGGCCUUCGGGUUGUAAACCUCUUUUAGCAAGGAAGAAGCGAAAGUGACGGUACUUGCAGAAAAAAGCGCCGGCUAACUACGUGCCAGCAGCCGCGGUAAUACGUAGGGCGCAAGCGUUAUCCGGAAUUAUUGGGCGUAAAGAGCUCGUAGGCGGUUUGUCGCGUCUGCUGUGAAAACCCGAGGCUCAACCUCGGGCCUGCAGUGGGUACGGGCAGACUAGAGUGCGGUAGGGGGAGAUUGGAACUCCUGGUGUAGCGGUGGAAUGCGCAGAUAUCAGGAAGAACACCGAU